rnacentral:rRNA from 1 species
UGGUGGAGUGAUUUGUCUGGUUAAUUCCGUUAACGAACGAGACCUUAGCCUGCUAACUAGGCACGUCGUUCGCGAACGUCGUUGUCUUCUUAGAGGGACUUUGUGCGUUAAUCACAAGGAAGUUUGAGGCAAUAACA